GGCUGAUCUAAAGGUACUGAAUUUUAUCAAUUGAUUAUUACAGUUAACAGACCAACUUUGUUUACUCUUUCCCCCUUCUCAGCACUGCACUUGACUAGUUCUUU
rnacentral:Y_RNA from 1 species